UGGGGAAUAUUGGGCAAUGGGCGCAAGCAUGACCCAGCAACGCCGCGUGAAGGAAGAAGGCUUUCGGGUUGUAAACUUCUUUUGACAGGGAAGAGUAGAAGACGGUACCUGUCGAAUAAGCCACGGCUAACUACGUGCC
rnacentral:rRNA from 1 species